CGGAGGGGCUAGCGUUGUUCGGAAUUACUGGGCGUAAAGCGCGCGUAGGCGGACCUGCAAGUCGGGGGUGAAAGCCCGAGGCUCAACCUCGGAACUGCCUUCGAUACUGCGGGUCUCGAGUCCGGGAGAGGUGAGUGGAAUUCCUAGUGUAGAGGUGAAAUUCGUAGAUAUUAGGAAGAACACCAGUGGCGAAGGCGGCUCACUGGCCCGGUACUGACGCUGAGGCGCGAAAGCGUGGGGAGCAAACAGGAUU
rnacentral:rRNA from 1 species